rnacentral:lncRNA from 1 species
ACAUACUGAAGCCAGAAUAAGCCACGACUUCGUGUGCUCCACGCGAGGGCCGCCUGACGCCAGAGUUUCUCCCGCAUCUGCCAUCAGAGGACCGUCGCCCUCAGGAGCCCGAGCUCCCGCGGCUUCUCCGAAAUUGGAGUUCCAGAAGCCAUCCUUGGAUAACAUCUCUAUAAUCUCCUGGGAGAAUCCUUCUUCGAAGAAAUCCUCCAUCAGAGGAGAGUUCUUGGUCUCAGUCACAUCUGAAAGAGCAAGUGCAAAUGUCUCCUGUUCACUAAGGGUGAGAACACAGACAAGAGCAAGUAGGGGUGAUAGAUCUUGAGUCCAGCCUAUCCAUCAAGGGACCCAAAGGGGUGACCCAUGUGGAACUGGCAUCACAGAAAACAGACAGAGCCCAUUCCCAGGAGGGUCAAGAAGGGAGUUGGGAAACCAUAGGGUUCAACGAGGAGGGAGAUUCUACCAUUACCUUCACACCUAAGUGACUGACCAAGUUCCCUAAAAAAUCGCCUGGACUCACCUGCUUCUACUCUCCACUCUAUCCUGUACUGUCACCAAAAUCUUCCUCCUCAUAUCCUGCAUCCUCUAUCCCAGACAACACCCCGCUCUCCCCACACCACCAUCCAUCCAGUUCUCCAUGCUAGAAUCCUGGGAGUCAACCUCCUCCCUACCUCCCUCAACUUGGCACUAUUUUCAUUUGGUCUCUAUCGAAAUGUCUCAACUCCCUUCCUCUCCUCUCUUUAUCACUGACUCAGCAUCUGACCCCAGGCUGCUCAUUGGUCUCCUGUUUGUCUGUCUCUCUCUCUCUCUAGUCUUCCACACUAGCCCUAAAGGGCUUUGUAGUUAAUGGAUCUGACUAUAUCACUCCUCUGAUUAAACCCUUCCAUGGCUUCCUGCCUGGAGAAAAGAAAUGAGUGUAUUAGCCCAGUGUUCUUUGUGCUGACCUCAUAGAACUCUUGCGGUUCCCUAAAUCCACCAGACUUUCUCCUCUGUGCCUUUAAUGGUCCCUCAUGCUGGAUGGCACUUCCUGGACUAACUCCUCUAAGUCUUUUAAUACCCAGCUUAUCACCCUUCUCUGAAAGGCUUCCCUGACAACCCCAUCCCCAUUCUGCUUUAAGUCCCCUGCCCUGUAUUCUCUGAAAACCAGCUGAGCACUGACCAUCCUCUACCAUAACAGGUUAUGAAAGGGUCUGACCCCUGACCCUUACCAGAAGGUAAGUUCUUUAAUGGGGACCUUCCACUGCUCAUCCAUCCACUGCCACAGAGGCGGCCACGAGAAAGAUUCACAGGACAGAGUAAUUCCCAUUCAUGGUAUGCUUGUUCACAGGCAGGAGUGCCUCAGGCACUCUGUUACACUCGACAACCUCCUGUAAGGUAGGCACGUUUCUGCUUUCUUACAGGUAAGUGAGCAGAAGACUGAGGAUUUGAACCCCUCUGACUA